rnacentral:tRNA from 1 species
UAUAUUUAGAUGUAUGAUGCAUGUGGAUUUUUGAAAUCCAAUGAGUGGUUUAAUUCCGCGAAGUGUAG